rnacentral:rRNA from 1 species
UACGUAGGGUGCAAGCGUUAAUCGGAAUUACUGGGCGUAAAGCGUGCGCAGGCGGUGAUGUAAGACAGAUGUGAAAUCCCCGGGCUCAACCUGGGAACUGCAUUUGUGACUGCAUCGCUAGAGUACGGUAGAGGUGGAUGGAAUUCCGCGUGUAGCAGUGAAAUGCGUAGAUAUGCGGAGGAACACCGAUGGCGAAGGCAAUCCCCUGGACCUGUACUGACGCUCAUGCACGAAAGCGUGGGGAGCAAACAGG